AUUGAACGCUGGCGGCAGGCCUAACACAUGCAAGUCGAACGAGUGGCGGACGGGUGAGUAAUGUCUGGGAAACUGCAUGAUGGAGGGGGAUAACUACUGGAAACGGUAGCUAAUACCGCAUACCAUCAGAUGUGCCCAGAUGGGAUUAGCUUGUUGGUGGGGUAACGGCUCCACAAGGCGACGAUCCCUAUCUGGUCUGAGAGGAUGACCGGCCACACUGGACCUGAGCCCCGGUCCAGACUCCUACGGGAUGCAGCAUUGGGGAAUAUUGCACAAUGGGCGCAAGCCUGAUGCAGCCAUGCCGCGGGUAUGAAGGAGGCCUUCGGGUUGUAAAUUACUUUCAGCGGGGAGGCGUUACCCGCAGAAGAAGCACCGGCUAACUCCGUGCCAGCAGCCGCGGUAAUAC
rnacentral:rRNA from 1 species